GCCUACACCCCACAGCCGCUCAGGGCUCGCGGCCGCCCCGUGCAGCCCGCACAGACCCGCAGCCCGGCGGGGCCCGAGGAGGCCCCAGACCCGGCGGGGCCCAGCGCGGACUGGAAGAUUGUUAAGACACCUCCUGCAUGCAGAGCCCACCGGGAGAAGUGCAGGUGUCCUCAGGCCCUGCUCUAACGUCCUGAGAGGUGGAAUGGCCCAAGCUCUUGCCCGAUGGACGGCUCUCCAAGCAUGUCCUCCCGGGACCCUUCUAACCAGUGAAUUGUUCUCCACCCAGUGAUUCUUCCCGACUGAGGCCAAGAGAUUUCUGGAUCUUCUUGUUAUGGGUCAGCAACAUCCCAUGAGUGACCGCGAAGUGGGGGUUUCUAAGUCCCUCAGGCAAAGACAAAGCAGAUGAGCCUAGCUCUGGGGGGAAGCACAAGAGUGUGUCCACCAUGGCUGUGCCCGGAUGCUGAGGGCUGGCCAGACUGGGGCCAGCUGGAAUUCUAGAAUUUGUACUUGGUGUGAGUCAUACCAAAACUGCCCAGGUGAAGAGCUCCCCCUGAAGACAGCUGGUCUACCCGUGGGCCAAGUGGCCCAUUCCUGUUGCCUUGCAAAUGACCACAGCCUGUCAGGGCAAGUGAGGGUCGCAGACUGGAACCAAAGGAAGUCAGGCGCCUCAUAGGAGGAUAAGCAAAUCAACCCAGUCAAGAAGGUCACUAUGUGGAGCUGGCAAGGUUCCCUGAUGGUGACCAGUGGCCAUGGCAGAGUGUGGCGGUGAAGUUACAGAUUUUCCUUAGCAGAGCUGUGGAGUGUGACAAUGGUGUUUGUGUCCAAACUAUCAAACGCCAUUAUCACACUAAAUAGCUACUGUUAGGCAAUCCUUCCGCUCAAUAAAUGCCUUGGCACCUGUGUGGUUUGGGCAAGAAGGUUCCUCUUCCAUCAGAGUUCCCAGUCCUGUGUGAUUACUGGGUAAAUGCAGACCCACUGGUGCUCACAACCAGCCUGUCGUCCGAACUUGGCCUCUCACAUGCUGUUGUUCAAUACUUUAGCUGGUGAUGAACUUUCUUGUUUUCCCGAGUCAAUAAAAAAUAUGGUCGUGUC